rnacentral:rRNA from 1 species
AGCAGCCGCGGUAAUUCCAGCUCCAAUAGCGUAUAUUAAAGUUGCUGCAGUUAAAAAGCUCGUAGUUGAAUUUCGGGAUCAAUAUGUUGGUCGUGCCUUGGUACGUACUAGCUCAUUGGUUUCUCCCUUCUGACGAACCAUGAUGUCAUUAAUUUGAUGUCAUGGGGAAUCAGGACUGUUACUUUGAAAAAAUUAGAGUGUUUAAAGCAGGCUCGCGCUUGAAUACAUUAGCAUGGAAUAAUGAAAUAGGACAUUUGAUUCUAUUUUGUUGGUUUCUAGGAUCGAUGUAAUGAUUAAUAGGGAUAGUUGGGGGCAUUAGUAUUCAAUUGUCAGAGGUGAAAUUCUUGGAUUUAUUGAAGACUAACUACUGCGAAAGCAUUUGCCAAG